UAUACAAAAAGGCAAAGGUGGUCUUAGACGGUUUUUAUUCGAAGGUAGCAGAAACAUUUCAAAUCAUUUGAGUGCAAAUGAAAGGCAACAUUUCAACCAUGUAUUUACAGAUGCACUGGCACUUAGACGCACUUUAUAGAGGCGAGGUUAUGAACUCCAUUAGUGGAAAGAAAAGGAGACGGUGGUGUGCACACAGAUCAGAAAGGGCACUCGGUUACAUAUUCUCUACAUGCUUACAGUCUGGGAAUGUUAUGAUCUAAAUAGAAACUCAAUUUUCCUGGUGAGGAACUUAAGUCAAGAGCGCCGCCACUCUGACGAUGAACCGUUUUGGACAUUUUAAGAUAAUUAUAACACAAAAAAAAGAAAUGAAAUGGAUUCUGCAUCUGAUGACCCUCGAAUGUCUGGAGUGGAUUCCCCUUCGAUCAGUACUGACGAAAGAAGGAACCGGAAAGUACAGCUACAAAGCGUCCACUGAGAAGUCUGUUCUCCUCACUUGCUGACUCUCACAGUGGACGCAUUGACAGUGGACAGGGUUAAGAUGGCUCACUGAUGCAUUAUGGGAUUUUACAGGUAUAAUGCACCUCUAUAAUGCCUGGUCCCUGACCCUGUGCUACAUUCUCUUCUCCCCCACUGCUUCAGAAUAACAAAAACAAAAAAAGACCCCAAUGUAGGAAUGUCACGGUCACAAGCUUGCUUCACAGUUCGUAACAUUUAACUGUUGAUGGCGAGAAAGGACAGCGUGGCAGUCCAAGGUGCAAGGAAUGGGCUUUUUAAUUUUCCUUAAAAUUCACUAUCUUGUAUCCCCCCCCCCCACACAGUGGCAUCGAUGACUCGUGAUCUUGAGGCAAAACAGAUAAUAAAAAAAAAAAUACUAACAAUAUGCAAGUGUCCAAAUUCAGUUCAUUUAGAGUCUAUUGUA